AGUGCAAGACCUGCUGUGGCGAGUAUAGAUGCGGGUGCCAGCCCACGCAGUGACAGCAGCACUCCCAGCACCUCGGGACUGGAGACAGUGGCAGAGGCUGUGCCACUGCAGAAUAAGAACGAUUAUCUUUACUUCAUUCUGCCCUCAUUUGCCCCAUAUGAGGAAAUAUUGGAGCGGAAAGUGCCCAUAAACGGCCGAGUUAGGAGAGCAGUCAUUGACAGGCUCUUUCAAGCCUGUGUGAAGAUAGUGUGGCUGCCCAGUAAGCUUCUUUACCGGACUGCAGUAGAGAGGCUACUGACAAGGUAUCCUCACUUGAAGGAUGACAUUGAG